CUGCAUGAGCAGAAGCCCAUUUUAUUACUCUGCCCCUGAUCGUGUUUUUACUAUUUUACCCCUGUCAAAAAACCAUUUUGCCCCUUGCAAGAUGUAUGCUCCUCCGAGCUACCAAGAAAUGGGUUACUAUGAGCACGUGCAGCGUCGCCAUGAGGAGAAAGGCUGCCUCCAUGCGUGUCUUUUUGCACUGUGCUGCUGCUUUUGCUGUUACGAGACAUGUGAAUGCUGCCUGGAUGUCCUCACUUGCUGCUGUUAGUUUUUAGUUUAUUAUUAUUAUUAUUAUUAUUGGCCUUUUUUCAUUUUUUUUUUAAUUUGGAUUAUUGAAGAACAUAUUAAGGGAUUUGUAUGCUAUUUUAUGAAUGAAUUUUCUGUGAGAUCAGAAGCUUGGAAUGUGAUCAGACCUGUAUA